rnacentral:rRNA from 1 species
UAGGGAAUCUUCCACAAUGGGUGCAAACCUGAUGGAGCAAUGCCGCGUGAGUGAAGAAGGUUUUCGGAUCGUAAAGCUCUGUUGUUAGAGAAGAACACGUGCUAGGUAACUACUAGCGCCUUGACGGUAUCUAACCAGAAAGUCACGGCUAACUACGUGCCAACAGCCGCGGUAAUACGUAGGUGACAAGCGUUGUCCGGAUUUAUUGGGCGUAAAGGGAGCGCAGGCGGUCUGUUUAGUCUAAUGUGAAAGCCCACGGCUUAACCGUGGAACGGCAUUGGAAACUGACAGACUUGAAUGUAGAAGAGGAAAAUGGAAUUCCAAGUGUAGCGGUGGAAUGCGUAGAUAUUUGGAGGAACACCAGUGGCGAAGGCGAUUUUCUGGUCUAACAUUGACGCUGAGGCUCGAAAGCGUGGGGAGCGAACAGGAUUAGAUACCCUGGUAGUCCACGCCGUAAACGAUGAGUGCUAAGUGUUGGGGGCUUUCCGGCCCUCGGUGCUGGAGCUAACGUAUUAAGCACUCCGCCUGGGGAUUACGACCGCAAGGUUG